rnacentral:rRNA from 1 species
GACGAACCGUGCGAACGUUGUUCGGAAUCACUGGGCUUAAAGGGCGCGUAGGCGGGCAUUCAAGUCAGGGGUGAAAUCCUCCAGCUUAACUGGAGAACUGCCUUUGAUACUGGGUGCCUCGAGUGAGGUAGGGGCGUGCGGAACUGAUGGUGGAGCGGUGAAAUGUGUUGAUAUCAUCAGGAACUCCGGUGGCGAAAGCGGCGCGCUGGACCUUAACUGACGCUGAGGCGCGGAAAGCCAGGGGAGCAAACGGGG